UACGGGGGGAGCAAGCGUUGUUCGGAUUUACUGGGCGUAAAGGGCGCGUAGGCGGCCACCGCAAGUCGACUGUGAAAUCUCCGGGCUUAACCCGGAAAGGUCAGCCGAUACUGCGGGGCUAGAGUGCAGAAGGGGCAACUGGAAUUCUCGGUGUAGCGGUGAAAUGCGUAGAUACUGGGAGGAACACCGGUGGCGAAGGCGGCUACCUGGACCGGUUCUGACGCUGAGGCGCGAAAGCGUGGGGAGCAAACAGG
rnacentral:rRNA from 1 species